rnacentral:tRNA from 1 species
GGGCCUCUAGCUCAAUCGGUAGAGCAGUUGACUCUUAAUCAAUUGGUUCAGGGUUCGAGUCCCUGGAGGCCCACCA